rnacentral:rRNA from 1 species
GACGUAGGGCGCGAGCGUUGUCCGGAUUUAUUGGGCGUAAAGAGCUCGAAGGCGGCUCGUUGCGUCGGCUGUGAAAACCCGCAGCUCAACUGUGGGCUUGCAGCUGAUACGGGCGGGCUGGGAUUCGGUAGGGGAGACUGGAAUUCCUGGUGUAGCGGUGAAAUGCGCAGAUAUCAGGAGGAACACCGGUGGCGAAGGCGGGUCUCUGGGCCUUACCUGACGCUGAGGAGCGAAAGCGUGGGGAGCGAACAGG